GACGAACGCUGGCGGCGUGCCUAAUACAUGCAAGUCGAACGCAGUGGGGACGGGUGAGUAACACGUGGGUAACCUCCCAUCAGAGGGGAUAACACUUGGAAACAGGUGCUAAACCGAUACUGAUGGCUGGACCCGCGGUGCAUUAGCUAGUUGGUGAGGUAAUGGCUCACCUACGCGACGAUCCCUAGCUGGUCUGAGAGGAUGACCAGCCACACUGAAACUGAGACACGGGCCAGACUCCUACGGGAGGCAGCAGUGGGGAAGAUGGCACAAUGGGCGCAAGCCUGAUGCAGCCAUGCCGCGUGUGUGAAGAAGGCCUUCGGGUUGUAAAGCGCUUUCAGCGAGGAGGCGUUACGCGGAGAAGAAGCACCGGCUAACUCCGUGCCAGCAGCCGCGGUAAUAC
rnacentral:rRNA from 1 species